UUUUCCCAACCCGCGGCAGAACAAAAUGUUCGCUAGUUUUCUUAGUUUUCUGAACCGCUUAGAAUGAGAUACGGUCGUUCGAGAUUCGUCGAAUACUUCCUUGUGGCGGUGUUUGGAGUAGGAGGUGGAUUUUACGUUUUUCAGCCAGCCUUCCGGCAGUACCAGCAAGAUCAAACCUCCUCGCCGUCUGCCCCGAAAGCGGAAGCCGCUAGUGCUCAGCGUUAAACAUUCGGAAGGGAUAAAAAUCUCCUUGCAGAAUGUCUUUGGCCACGUUUGCCCGCAUGUACCACAUGCUGAAAGGAUCUCCGGUGGCCGUCGUCGGUGGAACGAUACUGAUAACGGGAUCUUUGCUCUACACCUACCGGGCAGUUUAUCGACCGUUCGUGGUCCGUAGGGAGCGAGCCGAGGCAGAGGCCAUGGCCGACUACAUUUUCCGAAUGGAACAGUCCCGGGAACAACGGUAGUCGGCCCAAGGUGUUCUCGAGUUCCAGUAACGUGGGCAUCUUACAGCAUAGCCAAUAAAUUAUUUGAUUACCGCAUAACAUGU